AUGCUCAAAAUUCUCCAAGCCAGGCUUCAGCAAUACGUGAACUGCAUACUUCCAGAUGUUUCAGCUGGUUUUAGAAAAGGCAGAGGAACCAGAGAUCAAAUUGCCAACAUCUGCUGGAUUAUGGAAAAAGCAAGAGAGUUCCAUAAAAACAUCUAUUCCUGCUUUACUGACUAUGCCAAAGCUUUUGACUGUGUGGAUCACAAUAAAUUAUGGAAAAUUCUGAAAGAGAUGGGAAUAGCAGACCACCUGACCUGCCUCUUGAGAAACCUAUACGCAGAUCAGGAAGCAACAGUUAGAAGUGGACGUGGAACAACAGACUGGUUCCAAAUAGGAAAAGGAGUGUGUCAAGGCUGUAUAUUGUCACCCUGCUUAUUUAACUUAUAUGCAGAGUACAUCAUGAGAAACGCUGGGCUGGAAGAAGCACAAGCUGGAAUCAAAAUUGCUGGGAGAAACAUCAAUAACCUCAGAUAUGCAGAUGACACCACCCUUAUGGCAGAAAGUGAAGAGGAACUAAAAAGGCUCUUGAUGAAAGUGAAAGAGGAGAGUGGAAAAGUUGCCUUACAGCUCAACAUUCAGAAAAUGAAGAUCAUGGCAUCUGGUCCCAUCACUUCAUGGGAAAUAGGUGGGGAAACAGUGGAAACAGUGUCAGACUUUAUUUGUUUGGGCUCCAAAAUCACUGCAGAUGGUAAUUGCAGCCAUGAACUUAAAAGACACUUACUCCUUGGAAAGAAAGUUAUGACCAACCUAGAUAGUAUAUUCAAAAGCAGAGAUAUUACUUUGCCAACAAAGGUCCGUCUAGUCAAAGCUAUGGUUUUUCCUGUGGUCAUAUAUGGAUGUGAGAGUUGGACUGUGAAAGAAGCUGAGUGCCAAAGAAUUGAUGCUUUUGAACUGUGGCAUUGGAGAAGACUCUUGAGAGUCCUUUGGACUGCAAGGAGAUCCAACCAGUUCAUGCUAAAAGAGAUCAGUCCUGGUUUUUCAUUGGAAGGACUGAAGCUGAAGCUGAAACUCCAAUACUUUGGCCACCUCGUGUGA
rnacentral:lncRNA from 1 species